GAUGAACGCUGGCGGCGUGCUUAACACAUGCAAGUCGAACGGGAUCGGCUGGAGCUUGCUCCGGCCGUGAGAGUGGCGAACGGGUGAGUAAUGCGUGACCGACCUGCCCCAUACACCGGAAUAGCUCCUGGAAACGGGUGGUAAUGCCGGAUGCUCCGACAUGACGCAUGUCGUGUCGGGAAAGAUUCUAUCGGUAUGGGAUGGGGUCGCGUCCUAUCAGCUUGAUGGCGGGGUAACGGCCCACCAUGGCUUCGACGGGUAGCCGGCCCGAGAGGGCGACCGGCCACAUUGGGACUGAGAUACGGCCCAGACUCCUACGGGAGGCAGCAGUGGGGAAUAUUGCACAAUGGGCGCAAGCCUGAUGCAGCGACGCCGCGUGCGGGAUGACGGCCUUCGGGUUGUAAACCGCUUUUGACUGGGAGCAAGCCCUUCGGGGUGAGU
rnacentral:rRNA from 1 species